AGAGUUUGAUCCUGGCUCAGGAUGAACGCUGGCGGCGUGCCUAACACAUGCAAGUCGAACGGGACUAUUUGGAGAUGAUUUCGGUCUGAUCCUUAUAGUUUAGUGGCGGACGGGUGAGUAACGCGUGGACAACCUGCCUUUCACAGGGGGAUAGCAGCUGGAAACGGCUGGUAAUACCGCAUACGCUCGUGUCACCGCAUGGUGAUAUGAGGAAAGAUUUAUCGGUGAAAGAUGGAUCCGCGUCUGAUUAGCCAGUUGGCGGGGUAACGGCCCACCAAAGCGACGAUCAGUAGCCGGCCUGAGAGGGCGGACGGCCACAUUGGGACUGAGACACGGCCCAGACUCCUACGGGAGGCAGCAGUGGGGGAUAUUGCACAAUGGGCGCAAGCCUGAUGCAGCGACGCCGCGUGAGUGAAGAAGUAUUUCGGUAUGUAAAGCUCUAUCAGCAGGGAAGAAAGGCCCGCAAGGGAGAUGACAGUACCUGACUAAGAAGCCCCGGCUAACUACGUGCCAGCAGCCGCGGUAAU
rnacentral:rRNA from 1 species